AGUGAACGCUGGCGGCAGGCCUAACACAUGCAAGUCGAGCGGCAGCGGGUCCUUCGGGAUGCCGGCGAGCGGCGGACGGGUGAGUAAUACAUCGGAAUCUGCCCUGUCGUGGGGGAUAACCUAGGGAAACUUAGGCUAAUACCGCAUACGACCUACGGGUGAAAGCGGGGGAUCGCAAGACCUCGCGCUACAGGAUGAGCCGAUGUCCGAUUAGCUAGUUGGCGGGGUAAAGGCCCACCAAGGCGACGAUCGGUAGCUGGUCUGAGAGGAUGAUCAGCCACACUGGGACUGAGACACGGCCCAGACUCCUACGGGAGGCAGCAGUGGGGAAUAUUGGACAAAGGGCGCAAGCCUGAUCCAGCCAUGCCGCGUGGGUGAAGAAGGCCUUCGGGUUGUAAAGCCCUUUUGUCCGGGAAGAAAUCGUCUGGGCUAAUACCCCGGGCGGAUGACGGUACCGGAAGAAUAAGCACCGGCUAACUUCGUG
rnacentral:rRNA from 1 species